rnacentral:lncRNA from 1 species
GGGAACUUGGAGAGCCAUUGCCGAAUGAUCUGUUCAUCUCGAUUCAUUUCUCUGUUCAUUUCAUUCAUUCUUUCAUCUGUUGAAUGAAUAAUGGGACUCUAGUCAACUGCCAGGCACAGCGGCAAGCUGGAGUGCCUGGAGUAAUUUUCUGGACAGAGCACCUGCCCUCUGGGAGCAGAUAUUCUAGUUGGGUAGAUGACGUCAGGUAAAAGAUGCUUGGAAGAAAAGGAAAUCAGGAUAAGGGGACUGAGAGUGACAGAGGUCACGGAGUGACAGGUGGUCAGAGAAGGCUGCUCUGAGGAGGUGACAUUUGAGAAGAGGCAUGAAAGAAGGUAGACGGUGACAGAAUCCAUGGAACUGUAGGACAUCCUGCUGGUGUUGGAGAAUUGCUUGGUGUCGGGGAAGGCGUCACAAGUCAGACUGGGUGCAGAACAGUCAGCAACCAGGGUUUCUUGGUACUUUGCUGCAAGCCUGUUUGCUGUAGACAUCUUUGCCACAAGUGUUUUCGCUGCAUAACCACUUGGCCCUAUGGCAAUUUUGCCGUAAAAGAUAAAAAUCACGAAAAAUAAAAGAGGGCCAUUCAUUCCAAAGGAUGCAACAAAACGUGAAAAAGAUGAAUAGCAAAAUUAAAAGGACUUUAUUGUGAAAUACAAAAGAUUUGAAUAGGUUUAAAAUAUGUGUCUGGAGAUUCACGGCAGUCCUGCCCAAAGAACCAGUUUUAUUUUGUGUGUGUGGAUUGCACCUCACUAAGCACCUUCCUUUGUUCCGUGGGACAUGUGGGUUCAACUCUGCCCCCUCGAAGAAGAGGCCUCGGCCCUCUUCUCCUCCUCCAAUAUAGUGUGAUUCAAAAUAAGAAACAACUCUUGGGGCAAAUCAUCGACACGGUCAGCUCGAUGAAGCCAUCAGUAAGACACUGACUGGAAGAAAUGCCAAGUAUUUUAGACCGCUACCGUCACCACCAUGUCUGCAGGUCACCGUGGAGACCACUCUGAGGGCUAGCCAAGAUUUAUAGCAUAUAAAAAUGGGAGGAACUGUGAGAACUUCGUCAAUGGAGAAGUGAAACCAAACUGGAAAAAAAAGACAAAACUGUCAACCAGUUAUGUUCUUUUCUUUUAUGGCGGUUGAUUCGUCAAUGGAG